AGCUUUGUGCAGGGGCAGUAUUGUAGCCAGUAAGGUUUAUCAGAGGCUCCCUGUGAUUAUUGCUUAUAGAAAACUAUUCUUAUUUAUUUAUUUAUUUAUUUAGUGUGAGUGUGGCCAGUUCAGCCCACCAGGGGG